rnacentral:rRNA from 1 species
AUUGAACGCUGGCGGAAUGCUUUACACAUGCAAGUCGAACGGCAGCACGGGGCAACCUGGUGGCGAGUGGCGAACGGGUGAGUAAUAUAUCGGAACGUGCCCAAUCGUGGGGGAUAACGUAGCGAAAGUUACGCUAAUACCGCAUACGAUCUACGGAUGAAAGCGGGGGAUCGCAAGACCUCGCGCGAAUGGAGCGGCCGAUAUCAGAUUAGGUAGUUGGUGGGGUAAAGGCUCACCAAGCCAACGAUCUGUAGCUGGUCUGAGAGGACGACCAGCCACACUGGAACUGAGACACGGUCCAGACCCCUACGGGAGGCAGCAGUGGGGAAUUUUGGACAAUGGGGGCAACCCUGAUCCAGCCAUUCCGCGUGAGUGAAGAAGGCCUUC